rnacentral:lncRNA from 1 species
UUUUCAAAUUCAUCCACCAAAUAGAUCCACCGCUACCCCUAAAACAUAAUCGCAUCUUCCUCUCCAUACCUAGUACUAAGAAUCAUAUACCACAACUUACUGACUCGUUUAGAAUCCUCCAACACCAUUUACCAAGUAACGCUAAGAUAAACUCCUUCAACCUCCUAUACCCAGACCUCCAUUUUCCUUUUUCAAUCAAAUAGUAUCCC